rnacentral:rRNA from 1 species
AGCAGCCGCGGUAAUUCCAGCUCCAAUAGCGUAUAUUAAAGUUGUUGCAGUUAAAAAGCUCGUAGUUGAAUUUCGGGGUUAGUAGGUUGGUCAUGCCUCUGGUAUGUACUGGUCUCACUGAUUCCUCCUUCCUGAUGAACCUUAAUGCCAUUAAUUUGGUGUUUUGGGGAAUUUGGACUGUUACUUUGAAAAAAUUUAGAGUGUUUAAAGCAGGCAUUUUUGCUUGAAUACAUUAGCAUGGAAUAAUAAAAUAGGACGGCAUGGUUCUAUUUUGUUGGUUUCUAGGACCACCGUAAUGAUUAAUAGGGAUAGUUGGGGGCAUUAGUAUUCAAUUGUCAGAGGUGAAAUUCUUGGAUUUAUUGAAGACUAACUACUGCGAAAGCAUUUGCCAAGGAUGUUUUCAUUAAUCAAGAACGAAAGUUAGGGGGAUCGAAGACGAUCAGAUACCGUCGUAGUCUUAACCAUAAACUAUGCCGACUAGGAAUCAGACGAUGUUAAUUUUUUAAUGACUCGUUUGGCA